rnacentral:lncRNA from 1 species
AGGUUCGGCGGCCGAAAGUCCCUUCCAGAGCCGAACCUCAAGCACUUUCGGCGGCACUUCGGCUGCCGAAAGUCCUCUCCAGAGACGAAAGUCCCUAACCUUCGGCGGCACCUUCGGCGGCCGAAACCCUCCUCCAGAGCCGAAAGUCCAAACUUUCGGGGGCAAGCUUGGGCAAGCUUAGGCAGCCGAAACCACCUCCUUAGCA